GCUGGGGCAAGAAGGGGGGUGUCUACUGGGGGGCAGCUGUGGCCGUUUGGAGGAUCGUAGCCCCUAUCAGAGAUGACUAGCUUUUUGUUUUUAGCGUGCAGGUGUGGGGGCCUUGGUCUGACAUCAGCGUGGCUGUUCCCUUCGACACCGUCCAGCACUGAGCGUGUCAGCGGUGACUUUGAGUGGGGGCUCGGGAACCUCAACCCCUCCCCUGGAUGAUGUAACACGACGCUGCCUCGCAUGAUGUAACACGACGCUGCCUCGCAUGAUGUAACACGACGCUGCCUCGCAUGAUGUAACACGACGCUGCCUCGCAUGAUGUAACACGACGCUACCUUGCAUGAUGUAACACGACGCUGCCUUGCAUGAUGUAACACGACGCCUUUAUAAAAUGACAUUCUUAAUGGA